AUUGGUCAAUAGCCUAACGGCUGAACCAGCAACUUUGAUGAAUGGCCAACUAGUGGCAAACAAGAACUAUGUUCUAUAAAAUUCUAGGUAGAUAAAUGAAUCGACAAAUUCUGCUUAUAUGUCUUGACCAAGUCACGUGCCAGCAGUCGCGGUAACACGUGGAAGACUAGUGUUAUUCAUCUUUAUUGGGUUUAAAGGGUACCUAGACGGCCGUUGAAUCCGAACAAAGGAACCAAUGUGCUAGAGUUUCAUGUAAGUAGAAUUGAGAACGUUGAGCGUAGAGAUAAAAUUCUUUGAUCCCAGCUAGGAACUGGUAAAGGCGAAAGCAAUCUAUUAUGUAAAAACUGACGUUGAGGGACGAAGGCUCGGUUAACAAACAGGAUUAGUUACCCUAGUAGUGUGGGCAGACAAUGAUGAGUGUCAUAUGUAAGUUAAGUUUAUGUAUAAAUGAAAGUGUAAGCACUCCACCUCAAGAGUAAUAGGGCAACCUAUAAACUGAAAUCACUAGACCGUUUCUGAAACCAGUAGUGAAGUAUGUUAUUUAAUUUGAUGAUCCACGGAAAACCUUACCACAGACCCAUGAAUAUUUAUGUUUAAACAUAAUUACAGGCGUUGCACGGCUGUCUUCAGUUAAUGUCGUGAGACUGUGGUUAGCUCCAUUAAAUUAACGUAAACCCUUAUUUUAUUUUAGAUAAAAUAGCUCAUUCGCUAUAUUGAAAUGUGAUAAUAGGGACCAAGACAAGUCAUCAUGACCC
rnacentral:rRNA from 1 species